rnacentral:rRNA from 1 species
UACGUAGGGUGCGAGCGUUAAUCGGAAUUACUGGGCGUAAAGCGUGCGCAGGCGGUUGUGCAAGACAGAGGGGAAAUCCCCGGGCUUAACCUGGGAACUGCCUUUGUGACUGCACGGCUAGAGUGUGUCAGAGGGGGGUAGAAUUCCACGUGUAGCAGUGAAAUGCGUAGAGAUGUGGAGGAAUACCGAUGGCGAAGGCAGCCCCCUGGGAUAACACUGACGCUCAUGCACGAAAGCGUGGGGAGCAAACAGG